rnacentral:lncRNA from 1 species
GAAAUUUCAUAUUUAAAAGGAUUUCUAGAAGGUAAAAUGUAAAAUUAAAUCUAAACAAUUUAAUAAAAAAAAUGAAACAAAGAAAAUUGCAUAUUUUAGUAAUUUUCUUGUAUAAUUCUUUCUUCCAUUUGCCUUUUUUAAAUUACUUUCUUUCCUUGCUUAUCUAAAGCCAAAACAUAGAAUAAAUCCACAAUAAUCCAAUUGUAUUAUUGGCACUUUAUUCAUCAAUUAUUUCAGUGUUAAGUUGUUAAAGACAAAUGAGAAAUCCCCAUCGAAAUACAAAUUAAAAACCCUGCGAACAAUGUGGCGUUUUUUUAUCGGUCGGUCAUUGUAAUUGCAUAUAUUAAUCGUUAUCAGAAAUAUCUAUUAAGUUCCCUCCCCAAUUCUACAUGGUUGGCUAUAUAAUUAUCCAUCAACAUAGUUUGUAAUGCAAUAUUAUUACUGGCACAAGAUAAUUGCUGCUGUAUUAUUAUUCAACUGAAGUUGCAAUUUAUCUAACUAUUAUUGUAGAAUUAAUGGGUAAUAAAUAGCUGUAAGAAUGUGCUGUAUAAAUCGGGAAAUAGUUAAAAAAUAACAAAUAUUUUAGGCCUUCAUCUCUCCUUCAAACAUUCCUUCCAGCCCAAUCGGCAUUGCCUGAUUUCAGGCAGUGUAUAUUUGUGUUCGAAACAAAAAAUCAGUUUUAAUAAACGUGUCAGGCAACAAAGAGAGGCAGCAACGGUAGCAGCUACGUGUCCGUGCAACAUAGUGUGUCUGCCUCCGUGUGUGUGUGUGUGUGUGUGUGCGUGCAUGCAACGCAUUAAUUAUGAAUUUAAUUCAGCCGAGUCGUAGGGUAGGGACCGGGACCGGGACAGGGACAGUGACAGGGGGCAAACGGCACUUUGACAACGGACAGAGGAACGGACAGCGGGACGGACAGCGACGCAGGCAAGUGGCAAAGUCAACAAAUGUGUGCAACGGACACACAAUUUUUACCCAAUGCACAAACAUGGGGCACGGCCCGCGGCCAAAUGGCUUCUCUUUCGCUCUCCCUCUCUCUCUCUCUCUCUCUCUCUGCUGGUCUUUGCCCCUGCAACAAUUUUUCACUUACUGGUCGGUGCCUGGUCGGGCAACGUCUUUGCCAGUUUUUCGUAAUUUUUCAUUGGAAAUAUCGCGCUACGCACUUGAUUGCAGCAUUUAAUUAAAGCAGCAGCGAAGGCAAGAGGUUCCACACAGCAACAGCAACAGCAACAGCAACGGCAGAGGCAGCAACAUCCUGGGGCAACAACAGAGCAUAAUAAAAGUUGAAGAAAGGCUGCGAAAAGCGGCUCGAAACUAGUAAUACACUUGCGCACAUUUAUUUUAUGUUUCAUUUUGCAGCAAGGGAAGCUAAAAAAUGUUUUUUGCACCCAAAAAGUUAAUCUCUGGCUUAAAAGUUUUUUUAUAUUUUUUUAACAUUAUUCGUUUAAUUUUGAUCAAGUUUCAAAGUGGUAAUACCCUUUGUUAGUGCACAUCAGCAUGUUGCCGAGAUAUUUAUGCGCAACACUUGACAGAUUUAUUUAUGUGAGGUUAUGCUCGUGUGUGUGUUUCCCCCCCACCCGCAACCCUUGUGCCACCACUGCCACUGAUUGGCAAAGCAGCAAAAGGACGUUGAGGGUGGAAGGAGGAGCGAGAAAGCAGUGGAGUGAGGAAUGGAUCCAUCACAGAGGAUGGCAAACACUUUUGGAGUUUUGUUUUUGGUGUUUCUAGUAAAAAUAUUAAUUCUAAAAACCAAAAAGAGUUUUUUAUUAGCACAAAAUUUAUUUUGUAAAUAUUUAAGCUUUUAAUAUCUAGAAAUUAAAUUAGAUUAAUUUAUUUUUGUAAUCCUUUUGCCACAAUUUCGUUUUUUAAAUUUUAUUUUAUAUUUUUUAUGCCUUAAAUUAAUUUUAUUUGACUGUUUUUUAAUAUUUAUUUUCUUUUUAUUCAUUUAUUUUUGUAUAUAUUUUAUAUAAUUGAUAUCUCUUAGCAGUUGUUAGUCUUAUUUUAUUUUAUUAACUUAUUUUUGUUUAAUUUUUAAUUAACUUUCAAUUUUUUAAAUGUAAUGUUAUAUUUUUUAUACUUUCAUUUAAUUUUAUUUUACUAUUUUUGAAUAUUUAUUUUAUUUUUGUUUCCUCUGUUUCAUUUUUUUAAUUUAAUUUAUUUAUUUAAUCAUUUUUAAGUCCUGUUUUUUUUUUUGUAUAUCUUUUACUUAAAUUGCAAUUUUUUGAUUAAUUUUUUAUAUUUAUUUAACUUGUUUUCUUUUAUUUUAUUUCUUUUAGUCUUAUUUAAAUUGAUUAAUUUAUUUUUGUACAUAUUACACAUUCAUUUCUGUUCAUUGGAUUCUUUUCGUACUUUUUUUGCUGCAAUUUCAAUUUUAAAAUUUAGUUUUAUAUUUUUUAUGCUUUAAUUUAAUAUUAUUAAUUUAUUUUGUGUGUGUUUCCCUUACUUUUAUUUGCAGGUAAGCCUAAACUUUGACUGUGCCACUAUACCAAAUGCCGUUAGGCCUGUGCAUCUGUGUAAGUGAUCCAAUUGAGUGCAGCGAGAGAUUACCCCAAUUUCCCCAUUUUCUAACACCCCAGCCAGUGGCCUGGUGGCUCGCUGGUGGUGCAUCAAAGAUGCUCAAAGCUGAUUUUCUCAUAAAUCAAUUUACAUUUUCCAUCGGCUGUGCAAGUUAAAUUUUUAAUUAAAAUAGAAUGGAAUCGCCGCCGUUCGAUAGAUGCCUUCGGAUAGCGACAAUUUCUCUCGAAAAGAAAAUAGAAAAAGUUGGAAAAGAUUUUGGUUCGAUUCGAAAAUAGCUGAAAUUUGUGUGUGCUGGUGUCUCGGAUACAACAUAAUUAUAUUGGAGGCUGCCACAUAAAUCAAAGGCAUUGUGUCGGCUCUGCCACUGGUGCAACUGCAACUGCAACUGCUGCUGCAGGAGAGAGAGGGAGAGGGACUGGGAAUCGAAUCGAAUGGGAAAGUCGUAGGCGUGCAGCGGAGGGGAAAGGCACAGCAAAGAACCACUCGCAACAUUUGGCAGCAUGUGGCAAACGCAAACGCUUCGCUGCAACUUGUAGCUGCAGAUGAAACUGAAGAUGAUUUAUGUUGCAGUCGGACUGUCUGUCGACAGCAUGUGCUGCAUGCAACUGGGCCAGCAGAACGCAUUUUAACCCCAGCUGCAGCUGCACCAUGGCUGCGGUCGACACCACAAUAAAUUGAAACAAUAUUUAUUUUCGAUUCUCGCUGCCAACAUAUUUAUUACAGGCAAAAGCCAAAGCUAAACAGCAGCAGCAUUAAUUAAUUACAAAUUAAAAGCACUACAGGUUCUGCCUGAUGCUCUCUGGAUGCGGUACAUUUUUUUUUUAAUUUUAUUUUAUAUGUUUUUAUUGAGAG